AGUUAUAAUGAUCUGAUUGAAAUGUAAUAUACACAAGUAUUAACCCAUGAUAUUCUAAUGCAAAAAUGUUAUAGAUUGGGUUCUCUUUUUUUGAUGUUGGUUAUAUAGAAAUAUGUACGUAAAUGUCAUCGUCGUUAGUUUCGCUGUUGCAUAAUAAUAUUAUUGGAUAUCUUUGAUUCUUGCAGGAUAAUGAAAGCAUAUUUAAUUCAGAUUAUCAGACUCAAUCGGAUACCAGUACAAAUAAUAUGGAAAAUGAAGAUACAAUACAUGGAAGACGAAUUAUAGAUUUUAGUUUUUUUAUAAAUCAAUUACUUAUACCUAAUUGAUAAACAUGGUGAAAAGUUUGGUUGUCGAUUAAAUAAUUUAAAAAUUGUAAACGAUUAUUUGUUUAUUGUAACUCAAUCGAGCUAUUCUAGGUUAUAAAAUUCAUCGGUACAAAUAAUAUUUCAUAAACUAUAAAACCAAUAAACUAUUUCGAAAAUAAAAGUGGCAAAGUCUCAAGUUUGUUUGUGCCGCGUGGCGGUCCGCAGGUGUGCGUUGCGUAUUUCACUAGACGCACACGCGCGCAAGUGCUGCCGGCUAUCGUCUAAUUUACCUAAACCUGAGCGAUUCGAUUUUGUAAUAGCGCUCUUAAGCAU